rnacentral:rRNA from 1 species
UAACACAUGCAAGUCGAGCGAGGAGAUUCCUUCGGGAUGAUCCUAGCGGCGGACGGGUGAGUAACACGUGGGCAACCUGCCUCAUAGAGAGGAAUAGCCUUCCGAAAGGGAGAUUAAUGCCUCAUAACAUUGCAGCUUCGCAUGGAACAGCAAUUAAAGGAGCAAUCCACUAUGAGAUGGGCCCGCGGCGCACUAGCUAGUUGGUGAGGUAACGGCUCACCAAGGCGACGAUGCGUAGCCGACCUGAGAGGGUGAUCGGCCACAUUGGGACUGAGACACGGCCCAGACUCCUACGGGAGGCAGCAGUGGGGAAUAUUGCACAAUGGGGGAAAGCCUGAUGCAGCGACGCCGCGUGAGUGAAGAAGGUACUUCGGAUCGUAAAACUCUGGUCCUUGGUGAAGAAAAAAUGACGGUAGCCAAGGAGGAAGCCCCGGCUAACUACGUGCCAGCCGCGGC